UGUGCCCUACGGGAGGCAGCAGUGGGGAAUAUUGCACAAUGGGGGAAACCCUGAUGCAGCGACGCCGCGUGAGUGAGGAGGUAUUUCGGUAUGUAAAGCUCUAUCAGCAGGGAAGAAAAUGGCGGUACCUGACCAAGAAGCCCCGGCUAACUACGUGCCAGCAGCCGCGGUAAUACGUAGGGGGCAAGCGUUAUCCGGAUUUACUGGGUGUAAAGGGAGCGUAGGCGGCUGUGUAAGCCAGAAGUGAAAGCCCGAGGCUCAACCACGGGACUGCUUUUGGAAAUACAUGGCUUUAUUGCAGGAGG
rnacentral:rRNA from 1 species